rnacentral:rRNA from 1 species
UACGGGGGGUGCGAGCGUUGUCCGGAAUCACUGGGCGUAAAGGGCGCGUAGGUGGUUUGAUAAGGGUGUGGUGAAAGUCCGGGGCUCAACCCCGGAUCUGCCAUGCCGACUGUCAAACUCGAGGGCUGUAGAGGCAGACGGAAUUCCGGGUGUAGCGGUGGAAUGCGUAGAGAUCCGGAGGAAGACCGGUGGCGAAGGCGGUCUGCUGGGCAGUUUCUGACACUGAUGCGCGACAGCGUGGGGAGCAAACAGG